UCCGAAUUGGUGUAGUGGUUUAACAUUAUCGCCUUUCACUUCAGUUGGUGUGGUAAUCUGAGCGCGAUAGCCAGGGGUUCGAUUCCCCUAUUCGGAA